UCAAACAGGAUUAGAUACCCUGGUAGUCCACACAGUAAACGAUGAUUANUAGUUGUUUGCGAUAUACAGUAAGUAACUAAGCGAAAGCGAUAAGUAAUCCACNUGGGGAGUACGCCGGCAACGGUGAAACUCAAAGGAAUUGACGGGGGCCCGCACAAGCGGAGGAACAUGUGGUUUAAUUCGAUGAUACGCGAGGAACCUUACCCGGGCUUGAAAUGUAGAGGAAUAAGUAGGAAACUAUUUAGCCAGCAAUGGUCUCUAUGUAGGUGCUGCAUGGUUGUCGUCAGCUCGUGCCGUGAGGUGUCGGCUUAAGUGCCAUAACGAGCGCAACCCACAUUAUUAGUUACUAACAGGUUAAGCUGAGGACUCUAAUAAGACUGCCGUCGUAAGAUGCGAGGAAGGUGUGGAUGACGUCAAAUCAGCACGGCCCUUACGUCCGGGGCGACACACGUGUUACAAUGGGAGGUACAAAGGGCUGCUACCUGGUGACAGGAUGCUAAUCCCCAAAGCCUCUCCCAGUUCGGAUCGGAGUCUGCAACUCGACUCCGUGAAGCUGGAUUCGCUAGUAAUCGCGCAUCAGCCAUGGCGCGGUGAAUACGUUCCCGGGCCUUGUACACACCGCCCGUCAAGCCAUGGGAGCCGGGGGUAUCUGAAGUGCGUAACCGCAAGGAGCGUCCUAGGGUAAAACUGGUGACUGGGGCUAAGUCGUAACAAGGUAGCCGUA
rnacentral:rRNA from 1 species